rnacentral:lncRNA from 12 species
CAGCAGCCUCUCAUGAACUAAACUUAGCCCGGAAAAGCAAGAAGUGAAGCCCACACUUAGCCUUUCAAGUGGCAAAGUGGUUGGAGGUGGAACAAUGUUGACAUGACUCAGGAGACGCAGACAGGAUCACGGGAAGAAGCAAGUGUAGCUUUCAGGCAUCCCUGAACACGUAGGCAUUCCAAGCCCAGCACAGGCUCAUCUCAUCGCAUGUGAUCCCACCAUAGCAACCACGUGUGACCCGCUCCCAGUUUCAAGCAGUACAGGAGCACGGACAGCCGCCUUU